rnacentral:rRNA from 1 species
GACGUAGGGGGCGAGCGUUGUCCGGAUUUAUUGGGCGUAAAGCGUGCGUAGGCGGCUGCGCAAGUCGGGUGUGAAACCCCGGGGCUCAACCCCGGAACUGCAUCCGAUACUGCGUGGCUAGAGGUAGGUAGGGGAGAUCGGAAUUCCUGGUGUAGCGGUGAAAUGCGUAGAUAUCGUAAGGAAGACCAGUGGCGAAGGCGAGUCUCUGGACAGUUACUGACGCUGAGGCACGAAGGCCAGGGGAGCAAACGGG